AGUGAACGCUGGCGGUAGGCCUAACACAUGCAAGUCGAACGGCAGCACAGUAAGAGCUUGCUCUUACGGGUGGCGAGUGGCGGACGGGUGAGGAAUACAUCGGAAUCUACUUUUUCAUGGGGGAUAACGUAGGGAAACUUACGCUAAUACCGCAUACGACCUACGGGUGAAAGCAGGGGAUCUUCGGACCUUGCGCGAUUGAAUGAGCCGAUGUCGGAUUAGCUAGUUGGCGGGGUAAAGGCCCACCAAGGCGACGAUCCAUAGCUGGUCUGAGAGGAUGAUCAGCCACACUGGAACUGAGACACGGUCCAGACUCCUACGGGAGGCAGCAGUGGGGAAUAUUGGACAAUGGGCGCAAGCCUGAUCCAGCCAUACCGCGUGGGUGAAGAAGGCCUUCGGGUUGUAAAGCCCUUUUGUUGGGAAAGAAAAGCAGCAGGUUAAUACCCCGCUGUUCUGACGGUACCCAAAGAAUAAGCACCGGCUAACUUCGUG
rnacentral:rRNA from 1 species